AAACUGAAGAUGGCGACCGGCGCACGGGUGAGUAACACGUAUCCAACCUGCCGAUAACUCGGGGAUAGCCUUUCGAAAGAAAGAUUAACACCCGAUGGCAUAAUAGAACCGCAUGGUUUGAUUAUUAAAGAAUUUCGGUUAUCGAUGGGGAUGCGUUCCAUUAGGCAGUUGGUGGGGUAACGGCCCACCAAACCUUCGAUGGAUAGGGGUUCUGAGAGGAAGGUCCCCCACAUUGGAACUGAGACACGGUCCAAACUCCUACGGGAGGCAGCAUG
rnacentral:rRNA from 1 species